rnacentral:misc_RNA from 1 species
CCUGCUGCAGCACAGUCAAUCGCGGAGGAAGUUUUCGGGGCACCUCCGCGGAUCUAUGAGCGUAUCGUGUAAAAGUUUUCCGAGUGGUUUUGUUCGUUUUCUUUUAAAGCUUCGCCUAAUUCGGAGCAUUAUCUGAAGCGCGCACCGUUUGCCAUUUAACUGUAUCGCGGCGGAGUCGCGUAAUCAUCGACCACCUUUCUCCCAUUGUCGCGUAACAUAAAUUAGCAGCUGUGGCCGUCAGCAAGUGACUCCGUGGUUUUUCCGAGUAAAUUUUCAAUUUCGCGCAUAGCCGACAGCCAAAAGAUGUUUGGAUCGCGAUAAACAAUCGCAGUAGCUGAGCCACCACACAAACUACUCGAAAAUUGAAUGGUCGACGGCGACGGGCGCAAUGAGUUCACGCAUAAAGGAAGACGUUCAGAGACUGUUCGAGUUCUGGUGCGAGUUAAAGCAGAGCAGCGACGGGCCGCGAGCGCCAGCCACGAUCACGGAAUGUUUCCCGGAGUCGUUCCGCGACAGCCAGGUCCUGGCCAAGAUCGGCGACUUCGCCUACCCUUGUGAAUUUGAAAACUCGUCCGUGCAUUCCUACUCGUUCGUGUGGACCAGUGACGACUCCAAAUUUCGGUUUGGUUUCUGCAGACAUGACCCGAAGACGCGCAGUGCAAUGGUCUUAAUAACGUACCUUCCGUGGCACGACACAUUUCUCAAGCUGCUGGCCGUGCUGAGCGAGCUGCGGCGCAACCAGAACGGCGAGUUCCAAGCGUUUCUGUCGGAAGCCUACAACAAAGGCGUCCCGGAACGCGGAAGCAGCCUCAAAUUAUUCUACAAUUCAGGCCAAAAUCACUUCACAUUUCAACGCCCCUCGCAGUUCGAACUUCCCAGUAUUCCGGAAAAUCAUAAUUUAAAUUUGUAUUAUAACUUCGUGGAUCCAAAGAAUAUGAUUGCAGUAUUUGCAGCAAUGUUAUCUGAACGUCGUAUAAUCUUCACAUCGCGUCGUUUGGAUCGGCUCUCUUCAUGUAUACAAGCAGCUAAUGCAUUUCUGUACCCUAUGGUAUGGCAGCACAUUUUCAUUCCAAUCUUACCGAUGAAAAUGAAAGAUUUCCUCUGUGCGCCAAUGCCAUACCUCAUAGGCGUUCCAGAAGCUGUCUUGCGCACGAUGACUCCCGAAGAAUUAGGCGAAGUAGUCAUUUUAAACUGUGAUAAUAAUGAAUUUAAAAAUCCAUUCGACGACGUACGGCAAAUGCCACCUGAAUUAGUGUCGCAAAUGAAGAAAUACCUUGGAAAUUCGAACGAGCUUAUUGGCGAUAGAAUAUCCAAGAUUUUUCUACGAAUUUUAGUGCAAUUAAUUGGAGGCUACAGGGAUGCUGCCAAAUAUUCACAAGGACAAAAAAUCACUUGGGAUCGUGAUACAUUCAUCGAAUCACGACCGCCACAUUUGCGAAAUUUCCUAACGCGUAUGAUGGAGUUACAGAUAUUUCAGCAAUUUAUCGAUGAACGCUUAGAUAUAUUGAAUUCCGGACAAGGAAUAUCGGAUGAAUUCGAAAUGGAGACAUUACGAUACACCGACAAGAUGGGAAAGAAGGGGAAGAACUAUCGAGAUUUCCUGCGAAACGUUAAGGAUAAGAUGCGUACUAGACGCAAAACGCUUAACGUAUGAAAUAACGUUCUUAAUUUCAAACAUUUUGAGACAAAGAUUUCAUGUCAUGAGUAUCAUUUUUCCUUUGCAUUUAUAUUUAUGACUAAUCCGGCAGUGAAGUCUGCGGUUAAAUCGGUCAAAGAAGGGAGUCGUGGGGUAAAGUCAGCCUAUAAAGACCUUAAAUCUAAAUUACGGGACAUUACACCUCCAAAGUCACAGUUUCACAUAUCAGCAU